rnacentral:lncRNA from 1 species
CAGGCUGUUCUCAGCGGGUGGGAGGGAGGCUUGUGAGCUGCAUCUCCCAGCUCCCUCAGAGCUCCCAGCUUUCCCCUCGGAAUUAGAUAACAGGAAAAAUAGAUAAGAGAAGUGGUUCAUUAAUUCAGCAAGCCCUUUUUUUUGGUAUGUGUACAAGUGGAAGGAAGCCCUGCUAGGGAAUGCAGCCCUGUUGGACAUUUUUAAAAAAAAUCAACAUUCACAAGCUUCCAGAGAUCCAUCUGAAAGGUCACUCAGAAGGGCCUGAGGUUGACAGGAAACAAACCUAAGGAGUCAUUGCUCAUGGGGAGAAACGCUGACUUCACGGCGUCUUUGCCCCAAGUCUCAGGCACUAGACCUGCCUUUCUGAUGAGUGAGAAUGCCUGCUCUGUGGUAUUUGUUUAGGUUGUGCAAGCGUCCUCUGAGGGUAGAAAUAAUAGUAAUGGCAGUACUACUCUUCCUAGUAUGGCAAUAAAAAAUAACUGAUUUUCAAAGCACUUGCUCGUGUAGCAUUUUCUGGGCUUCUCACCAGAGGAGCAGCAGGCAGAUUAUAUAAUAAUAAGAUAUAAUGGAGACAAUUGAGCUCAGAGAGGUUAGGAACGUGCCUGUGGUCCAGUCACACAGCAAGGAAGGGUUGGAGCCAUGUUGGGUUCCAGAUCAACUGAUUCCUAAUCCAGGAAUAAAGAAAUCAAUGGAUUCUUAGAAUUGGAAGAGACCUCAAAUUCCAAUCUCCUGCCCGGAGCAGGAAUCCCCUGCCAGGUGAUUAUCCAUACCCUGUUUGAAUACUCCCGGUGAUAGGGAGCCCAUCCUUCUACAUGGCAUGGAUGUACAGCUCUACUGGCCGCCACGAUUCCCUGCCCCCCACAUGACCCAGGGUUGCGGGGCCGUGCCAGGCACACAGAAAGAAACAGGGAGCGGCAGCUGUGGCGUGAUUUGAGGAGCCGGGAGAAGCAGAUGACUCUUGACAGGCCUGCUGAGGAAUUCUCUCUUCUCAUGCCUAGCACUGUUAGGGGGUGUGUGGAGAUGAAAAAGCACAGGAUGCAGAAUCAGAAGACCCUGUUUAAGACCUGGUUUCCUCGCUCACCUGCUGUGCUGCUGUUGAAAAAGACACCUAGUUCCUCUGAAUCCCUCCUUGUAGGGAAAAUGUCUCCGUAAAUAUAAAUAAAAUAAAGUUUUCCCAUUUAAAAAUGGGGAUG